CUGUGAUGUCCUCAGAGAUGUUCUGGUCUUUCUGGAUCAUGAACGUGUGGAGGGAGGUGGAACCAGGAUCUUUAGAGGGGGAUGACUGAGCUUUCCCAUGAGCCUUUGCAGCUGCUCUGGGGAUGCUUGUUUUGAAGCAUCUCUCUGGUCUUCCUGGAGGUUUUCUGGUCUCUCUCCAGAUGAAACCAGAACAUGGAUGGAGAUUAAGAGGAUGUGACUUUAAUGACCUGAAGAUUCAGUCCAUCUGAUCUGUUUGCUUCAUCUCCAUCAGUCUCUUCUUCUGUUUUCAUGCCCUCCUGGAGGUCAUUAAACCAGCUUUACCUCGUGGACUCAGCGCUCUGACUGCCCCCUCCUGCCCCCCCCUCAGUGACCCUGACAUGUUUGUAUUUACUGAGGAUUUAGCAGAAAGUGAACAAUUACAUUUUCUCCAGGAGAGUAAUGGUUGGGAGAUUGUUCCGCCGUCUGUCCUUCCUUUCAGGUGGACACUUUGACAGAUUUCAAAUGAGUGUUACCUGGUGUCAAAUGUGGCUCAGCAGCCGCCGCUGUUCUUUCCCUCUCUUUAGAAACGACUGUGGAAGCCCGGCGCCCGGAUCGAUGCGCCCCUUACCCGCUGUAAAUUGGAUGGCCGGGGAUUGAUUCAUCUGAGCGCUGAAGGAGAGCGGCGUGCGGCUCCGGAGGCUGAGACGCCUGGAUCUGCGGCUGAUCUGGAUAAUGGAGCUGCAGCUCUUGACCCUGAGGGUGAACGCUCAAGCGGCCUUUUGUCUGGCCGAGUCUGCACUCGGCUCACCUGUUCUGCUAGUCAUCGCUCUCCACACCAGACGAGCGAGUCCAAAAAGUCUGUUCAGAUCAUUAAAGGAUCUACUUUUAAAAAUCUUUUCAACCCAAUAAAUCUGUGAUUGACCUGCAAACCUCAA